rnacentral:lncRNA from 1 species
AGUGUGCGCGCGCGCGCGCGUGUGUGUGUGAGUGUUGUGUGUGUAUGUAUGAGUAUGUGUGUGUGAGUGUGUGAGUGUGUGUGUAAAUGUGUGUGUAUGAUUAUAAGUGUGUAUUGAGUGUGUGUGUGUGCGCAUGAGUGUGUGUGUAUGAGUGUGUGUGAGUGUGUGAGUGUGCGUGUGUAUGAUUGAGUGUGUGAGUGUGUGUAAGUGUGUGUGAGUGUUGUGAGUGUGUAUGAUUGAGUGUGUGUGUAUACAUGAGUACAUGUGUGAGUGUGAGUGUGUGAGUGUGUGUGUGUGCGUGUGUGUGUGUUUCAUUCAGGAACAUAAAGCAUUGAGGUGGGUUGCAAACCCACUGACAGGAUUUAUUAAUUAUUAACUGUUUCUACACAGGCUUAUCCCUGAAGCCCCAUAAAUCCCUUACACAUUCACUGAGAGUGUCCAGCAUUCAUCCCUCUGACCCAACACUCACCCUGAAAGGCUCUCACACUGCCUCCCUGGGGCCCUCAAAUAUGGAUCAGCAUGGAGGACCAUAUUACAACCCAGCCCCAGUGUGGUGUCUACAAGUUGUCCACAGAAUUGAGAGCGUCUUCAGACCCCGAAACUCCCGCAACCUACACGCUGCAGAACGGUGGGUUCUCGGGCUGAGCUGUGCAAUCUGAGCCUGCAGGGCCUGGAUUCCUGUAGCAGAAAGGAGGGACUGGUCAAACAUGGACAUUGAGUGUAUGCAGGCAGCCUAGGGAGGCUGAUUCCACAAAUGGGUUAGGCUCUAGUCAGUGCUACUUUAGGUCACCUUACAGCCUGGGCCAGACCUGAGCUGGGGCUGUGGCAUCUCUCAGGGAC